rnacentral:rRNA from 1 species
AGUCAACCUACCCUAAGGACGGGAAUAAUCUCGGGAAACUGAGGAUAAUUCCAGAUAGAACACUAUGCCUGGAACGGUUUGUGUUCCAAAUGAUUUAUCGCCGUAGGAUGGGACUGCGUCCUAUCAGUUUGUUGGUGAGGUAAUGGCCCACCAAGACUAUUACAGGUACGGGCUCUGAGAGGAGUAGCCCGGAGAUGGGUACUGAGACACGGACCCAGGCCCUAUGGGGCGCAGCAGGCGAGAAAACUUUGCAAUGUGCGAAAGCACGACAAGGUUAAUCCGAGUGGUUCCUGCUAAAGGAACCUUUUGACGGUCCUAAAAACACCGUUGAAUAAGGGGUGGGCAAGUUCUGGUGUCAGCCGCCGCGGUAAAACCAGCACCUCAAGUGGUCAGGAUGAUUAUUGGGCCUAAAGCAUCCGUAGCCGGCUCUGUGAGUUUUCGGUUAAAUCUGUGCGCUCAACGUACAGGCUGCCGGGAAUACUGCAGAGCUAGGGAGUGGGAGAGGUAGACGGUACUUGGUAGGAAGGGGUAAAAUCCUUUGAUCUAUUGAUGACCACCUGUGGCGAAGGCGGUCUACCAGAACACGUCCGACGGUGAGGGAUGAAAGCUGGGGGAGCAAACCGGAUUAGAUACCCGGGUAGUCCCAGCUGUAAACCAUGCAAACUCAAUGAUGCAUUGGCUUGAAGCCAAUGCAGUGUU